rnacentral:rRNA from 1 species
UUGGAGGGCAAGUCUGGUGCCAGCAGCCGCGGUAAUUCCAGCUCCAAUAGCGUAUAUUAAAGUUGUUGCAGUUAAAAAGCUCGUAGUUGAACUUCGGGACCAGUAGGUUGGUCGUGCCUCCGGUACGUACUGAUCUCACUGAUUCCUCCUUCCUGAUGAACCGUAAUGCCAUUAAUUUGGUGUUGCGGGGAAUCUGGACUGUUACUUUGAAAAAAUUAGAGUGUUUAAAGCAGGCUAACGCUUGAAUACAUUAGCAUGGAAUAAUGAAAUAGGACGUUCGAUCCUAUUUUGUUGGUUUCUAGGAUUGACGUAAUGAUUAAUAGGGAUAGUUGGGGGCAUUAGUAUUCAAUUGUCAGAGGUGAAAUUCUUGGAUUUAUUGAAGACUAACUACUGCGAAAGCAUUUGCCAAGGAUGUUUUCAUUAAUCAAGAACGAAAGUUAGGGGAUCGAAGACGAUCAGAUACCGUCGUAGUCUUAACCAUAAACUAUGCCGACUAGGGAUCGGAUGAUGUUAAUUUCUUAAUGACUCAUUCGGCGCCUUACGGGAAAC